AUACGGAGGGUCCGAGCGUUAUCCGGAAUCAUUGGGUUUAAAGGGUCCGUAGGCGGGAAUCUAAGUCAGUGGUGAAAUCUUGCAGCUCAACUGUAAAAUUGUCAUUGAUACUGGAUUUCUUGAAUUAGUGUGAAGUGGUUAGAAUGUGUAGUGUAGCGGUGAAAUGCAUAGAUAUUACACAGAAUACCAAUUGCGAAGGCAGAUCACUAACACUAUAUUGACGCUAAGGGACGAAAGCGUGGGGAGCGAACAGGAUUAGAAACCCCAGUAGUCC
rnacentral:rRNA from 1 species